rnacentral:tRNA from 1 species
GAUCUCUUAGUAUAAAAAGUAUGCUUGACUUCCAAUUAAGAGGUAUAGGAGAUUA